CCGUCGAUAGCUCAGUUGGUAGAGCGGUGGACUGUAGAGGGUUGCAUAACGCAGACAUCCAUAGGUCGCUGGUUCGAAUCCGGCUCGACGGA
rnacentral:tRNA from 1 species